GCCCAAGUGGUGAAAUGGCAAACACGGUAGACUCAAAAUCUACUGACUUCCGAGUCUUAUGGGUUCGAGUCCCAUCUUGGGCA